GUCUGCCUGAGUGGAUCAAUCGCCGCGGUCCUGGACUCACAAUCUAGAGGUAGCCGGUUCGAAUCCCGAGGCAGACG
rnacentral:tRNA from 1 species